AUUAGGAGCUGGAAUGAAAGAGGCGACGAAAUCUAGACUAUUUAAGUUUUAGUAUAAAUUGACAGGCGGGUCAAAAGGCCCGCAUACACCAGGGGGACGAUAAGACCCUAUAAAACUUUACUUUCGGGCCGACGCCCUGCGGGAGGGAGAGUGUCUGAGAGUUUGACUGGGGCGGUUAUUAUAGAAACAAUUAUAGAUAAAAUAUAUUAUAUAGACGGGUAGAACUCUCUAGAGAAAUAGAACAAGUUACUUUAGGGAUAACAGCGCGAUCCCCUCAGAGAGUCCUGAUUGGCGGGGGGGCUUACGACCUCGAUGUUGAAUUGGGAUCCCACGUAUGAGCAAAUAUAUAUAUAGGUAGUCUGUUCGACUAUUAAACUCCC
rnacentral:rRNA from 1 species